rnacentral:rRNA from 1 species
UACGUAGGCAGCAAGCGUUGUUCGGAAUUACUGGGCGUAAAGGGUGCGUAGGCGCUUUUUAAGUUUGGUGUGAAAUCUCCCGGCUCAACUGGGAGGGUGCGCCGAAUACUGAGAAGCUAGAGUGUGGGAGAGGAAAGUGGAAUUCCUGGUGUAGCGGUGAAAUGCGUAGAUAUCAGGAGGAACACCGGUGGUGUAAACGGCUUUCUGGACCAUAACUGACGCUGAGGCACGAAAGCGUGGGUAGCAAACAGG